GCGAGACGGUGGCCCAUAGGCCGAGCGCGACCGAUAAACUGUUCAAGGUCGGAGCCGGGCGCAGCCCCGCGUCGACUGCAAAUGAUCAGCCAGCAGCCGCUGCAACCACAGGGAG
rnacentral:sRNA from 1 species